UAAAGGAAACGACUAAUAACCGCAUACGUCCUACGGACGGAAAGCAGGGGACCUUCGGGCCUUGCGCUAUCAGAUGAGCCUAGGUCGGAUUAGCUAGUUGGUGAGGUAAUGGCUCACCAAGGCGACGAUCCGUAACUGGUCUGAGAGGAUGAUCAGUCACACUGGAACUGAGACACGGUCCAGACUCCUACGGGAGGCAGCAGCC
rnacentral:rRNA from 1 species